AACGAACGCUGGCGGCAUGCCUAACACAUGCAAGUCGAACGAGACCUUCGGGUCUAGUGGCGCACGGGUGCGUAACGCGUGGGAACCUGCCCUUAGGUUCGGAAUAACUCCCCGAAAGGGGUGCUAAUACCGGAUAAUGUCUUCGGACCAAAGAUUUAUCGCCUUUGGAUGGGCCCGCGUUGGAUUAGCUAGUUGGUAGGGUAAAAGCCUACCAAGGCGAGAAUCCAUAGCUGGUCUGAGAGGAUGAUCAGCCACACUGGGACUGAGACAUGGCGGAGACUCCUACGCGAGGAAGGAAUGAGGAAUAUAGGAGAAAGGGCGGAUGGAUGAUGGGACAAGGCCGCGUAAGCGAUGUUGGCGGUAGGGAUGUAAAGCCGUUUAACCCGCGCUGAUUAUGACGGGACCGGAAGAAUAAGCUCCGGCUAACUAAGUG
rnacentral:rRNA from 1 species